rnacentral:rRNA from 1 species
GACUAAGCGUACACGGUGGAUGCCCUGGCAGUCAGAGGCGAUGAAGGACGUGCUAAUCUGCGAUAAGCGUCGGUAAGGUGAUAUGAACCGUUAUAACCGGCGAUUUCCGAAUGGGGAAACCCAGUGUGAUUCGUCACACUAUCAUUAACUGAAUCCAUAGGUUAAUGAGGCGAACCGGGGGAACUGAAACAUCUAAGUACCCCGAGGAAAAGAAAUCAACCGAGAUUCCCCCAGUAGCGGCGAGCGAACGGGGAGGAGCCCAGAGCCUGAAUCAGUGUGUGUGUUAGUGGAAGCGUCUGGAAAGGCGCGCGAUACAGGGUGACAGCCCCGUACACAAAAAUGCACAUGCUGUGAGCUCGAUGAGUAGGGCGGGACACGUGGUAUCCUGUCUGAAUAUGGGGGGACCAUCCUCCAAGGCUAAAUACUCCUGACUGACCGAUAGUGAACCAGUACCGUGAGGGAAAGGCGAAAAGAACCCCGGCGAGGGGAGUGAAAAAGAACCUGAAACCGUGUACGUACAAGCAGUGGGAGCACAGAGCAAUCUGUGUGACUGCGUACCUUUUGUAUAAUGGGUCAGCGACUUAUAUUCUGUAGCAAGGUUAACCGAAUAGGGGAGCCGAAGGGAAACCGAGUCUUAACUGGGCGUUAAGUUGCAGGGUAUAGACCCGAAACCCGGUGAUCUAGCCAUGGGCAGGUUGAAGGUUGGGUAACACUAACUGGAGGACCGAACCGACUAAUGUUGAAAAAUUAGCGGAUGACUUGUGGCUGGGGGUGAAAGGCCAAUCAAACCGGGAGAUAGCUGGUUCUCCCCGAAAGCUAUUUAGGUAGCGCCUCGUGAAUUCAUCUCCGGGGGUAGAGCACUGUUUCGGCAAGGGGGUCAUCCCGACUUACCAACCCGAUGCAAACUGCGAAUACCGGAGAAUGUUAUCACGGGAGACACACGGCGGGUGCUAACGUCCGUCGUGAAGAGGGAAACAACCCAGACCGCCAGCUAAGGUCCCAAAGUCAUGGUUAAGUGGGAAACGAUGUGGGAAGGCCCAGACAGCCAGGAUGUUGGCUUAGAAGCAGCCAUCAUUUAAAGAAAGCGUAAUAGCUCACUGGUCGAGUCGGCCUGCGCGGAAGAUGUAACGGGGCUAAACCAUGCACCGAAGCUGCGGCAGCGACGCUUAUGCGUUGUUGGGUAGGGGAGCGUUCUGUAAGCCUGCGAAGGUGUGCUGUGAGGCAUGCUGGAGGUAUCAGAAGUGCGAAUGCUGACAUAAGUAACGAUAAAGCGGGUGAAAAGCCCGCUCGCCGGAAGACCAAGGGUUCCUGUCCAACGUUAAUCGGGGCAGGGUGAGUCGACCCCUAAGGCGAGGCCGAAAGGCGUAGUCGAUGGGAAACAGGUUAAUAUUCCUGUACUUGGUGUUACUGCGAAGGGGGGACGGAGAAGGCUAUGUUGGCCGGGCGACGGUUGUCCCGGUUUAAGCGUGUAGGCUGGUUUUCCAGGCAAAUCCGGAAAAUCAAGGCUGAGGCGUGAUGACGAGGCACUACGGUGCUGAAGCAACAAAUGCCCUGCUUCCAGGAAAAGCCUCUAAGCAUCAGGUAACAUCAAAUCGUACCCCAAACCGACACAGGUGGUCAGGUAGAGAAUACCAAGGCGCUUGAGAGAACUCGGGUGAAGGAACUAGGCAAAAUGGUGCCGUAACUUCGGGAGAAGGCACGCUGAUAUGUAGGUGAAGCGACUUGCUCGUGGAGCUGAAAUCAGUCGAAGAUACCAGCUGGCUGCAACUGUUUAUUAAAAACACAGCACUGUGCAAACACGAAAGUGGACGUAUACGGUGUGACGCCUGCCCGGUGCCGGAAGGUUAAUUGAUGGGGUCAGCGCAAGCGAAGCUCUUGAUCGAAGCCCCGGUAAACGGCGGCCGUAACUAUAACGGUCCUAAGGUAGCGAAAUUCCUUGUCGGGUAAGUUCCGACCUGCACGAAUGGCGUAAUGAUGGCCAGGCUGUCUCCACCCGAGACUCAGUGAAAUUGAACUCGCUGUGAAGAUGCAGUGUACCCGCGGCAAGACGGAAAGACCCCGUGAACCUUUACUAUAGCUUGACACUGAACAUUGAGCCUUGAUGUGUAGGAUAGGUGGGAGGCUUUGAAGUGUGGACGCCAGUCUGCAUGGAGCCGACCUUGAAAUACCACCCUUUAAUGUUUGAUGUUCUAACGUGGACCCGUAAUCCGGGUUGCGGACAGUGUCUGGUGGGUAGUUUGACUGGGGCGGUCUCCUCCUAAAGAGUAACGGAGGAGCACGAAGGUUGGCUAAUCCUGGUCGGACAUCAGGAGGUUAGUGCAAUGGCAUAAGCCAGCUUGACUGCGAGCGUGACGGCGCGAGCAGGUGCGAAAGCAGGUCAUAGUGAUCCGGUGGUUCUGAAUGGAAGGGCCAUCGCUCAACGGAUAAAAGGUACUCCGGGGAUAACAGGCUGAUACCGCCCAAGAGUUCAUAUCGACGGCGGUGUUUGGCACCUCGAUGUCGGCUCAUCACAUCCUGGGGCUGAAGUAGGUCCCAAGGGUAUGGCUGUUCGCCAUUUAAAGUGGUACGCGAGCUGGGUUUAGAACGUCGUGAGACAGUUCGGUCCCUAUCUGCCGUGGGCGCUGGAGAACUGAGGGGGGCUGCUCCUAGUACGAGAGGACCGGAGUGGACGCAUCACUGGUGUUCGGGUUGUCAUGCCAAUGGCACUGCCCGGUAGCUAAAUGCGGAAGAGAUAAGUGCUGAAAGCAUCUAAGCACGAAACUUGCCCCGAGAUGAGUUCUCCCUGACUCCUUGAGAGUCCUGAAGGAACGUUGAAGACGACGACGUUGAUAGGCCGGGUGUGUAAGCGCAGCGAUGCGUUGAGCUAACCGGUACUAAUGAACCGUGAGGCUUAACCUUACAACGCCGAAGGUGUUU